GAUGAACGCUGGCGGCGUGCCUAAUACAUGCAAGUCGAGCGAACAGACGAGGAGCUUGCUCCUCUGACGUUAGCGGCGGACGGGUGAGUAACACGUGGAUAACCUACCUAUAAGACUGGGAUAACUUCGGGAAACCGGAGCUAAUACCGGAUAAUAUAUUGAACCGCAUGGUUCAAUAGUGAAAGACGGUUUUGCUGUCACUUAUAGCUGGAUCCGUGCCGCAUUAGCUAGUUGGUAAGGUAACGGCUUACCAAGGCAACGAUGCGUAGCCGACCGGAGAGGGUGGUCGGCCACACGGGAACUGAGACAGGGUCCAGACUCCUACGGGAGGCAGCAGUAGGGAAUCUUCCGCAAUGGGCGAAAGCCUGACGGAGCAACGCCGCGUGAGUGAUGAAGGUCUUCGGAUCGUAAAACUCUGUUAUUAGGGAAGAACAAAUGUGUAAGUAACUAUGCACGUCUUGACGGUACCUAAUCAGAAAGCCACGGCUAACUACGUG
rnacentral:rRNA from 1 species